rnacentral:rRNA from 1 species
AUUGAACGCUGGCGGCAUGCUUUACACAUGCAAGUCGAACGGUAACAGGCCGCAAGGUGCUGACGAGUGGCGAGCGGGUGAGUAAUGCAUCGGAACGUGCCCAGUCGUGGGGGAUAACGCAGCGAAAGCUGCGCUAAUACCACAUACGAUCUAUGGAUGAAAGCGGGGGACCGUAAGGCCUCGCGCGAUUGGAGCGGCCGAUGUCAGAUUAGGUAGUUGGUGAGGUAAAGGCUCACCAAGCCAACGAUCUGUAGCUGGUCUGAGAGGACGACCAGCCACACUGGGACUGAGACACGGCCCAGACUCCUACGGGAGGUAGCAGUGGGGAAUUUUGGACAAUGGGCGCAAGCCUGAUCCAGCAAUGCCGCGUGCAGGAAGAAGGCCUUCGGGUUGUAAACUGCUUUUGUACGGAACGAAACGGUCCGGGUUAAUACCCUGGGCUAAUGACGGUACCGUAAGAAUAAGCACCGGCUAACUACGUGCCAGCCGCCGCGGUAA